rnacentral:rRNA from 1 species
UGCAAGUCGAACGCUUCUUUUUCCACCGGAGCUUGCUCCACCGGAGAAAGAGGACUGGCGAACGGGUGAGUAACACGUGGGUAACCUGCCCAUCAGAAGGGGAUAACACUUGGAAACAGGUGCUAAUACCGUAUAACGAUCGAAACCGCAUGGUUUUGAUUUGAAAGGCGCUUUCGGGUGUCGCUGAUGGAUGGACCCGCGGUGCAUUAGCUAGUUGGUGAGGUAACGGCUCACCAAGGCGACGAUGCAUAGCCGACCUGAGAGGGUGAUCGGCCACAUUGGGACUGAGACACGGCCCAAACUCCUACGGGAGGCAGCAGUAGGGAAUCUUCGGCAAUGGACGAAAGUCUGACCGAGCAACGCCGCGUGAGUGAAGGAGGUUUUCGGAUCGUAAAACUCUGUUGUUAGAGAAGAACAAGGAUGAGAGUAACUGUUCAUCCCUUGACGGUAUCUAACCAGAAAGCCACGGCUAACUACGUGCCAGCAGCCGCGGUAAUACGUAUGUGGCAAGCGUUGUCCGGAUUUAUUGGGCGUAAAGCGAGCGCAUGCGGUUUCUUAAGUCUGAUGUGAAAGCCCCCGGCUCAACCGGGGAGGGUCAUUGGAAACUGGGAGACUUGAGUGCAGAAUAGGAGAGUGGAAUUCCAUGUGUAGCGGUGAAAUGCGUAGAUAUAUGGAGGAACACC